rnacentral:rRNA from 1 species
UACGUAGGGGGCGAGCGUUGUCCGGAUUUAUUGGGCGUAAAGAGCUCGUAGGCGGUUUUGGUAAGUUGGAUGUGAAAUCUCCAGGCUCAACUUGGAGGGGUCAUUCGAUACUGCCAUGACUAGAGUUCGGUAGGGGAGUGUGGAAUUCCUGGUGGAGCGGUGAAAUGCGCAGAUAUCAGGAGGAACACCCGUAGCGAAGGCGGCACUCUGGGCCGGAACUGACGCUGAGGAGCGAAAGCGUGGGGAGCGAACAGG